rnacentral:rRNA from 1 species
UACGUAGGUGGCAAGCGUUGUCCGGAUUUAUUGGGCGUAAAGCGAGUGCAGGCGGUUCAAUAAGUCUGAUGUGAAAGCCUUCGGCUCAACCGGAGAAUUGCAUCAGAAACUGUUGAACUUGAGUGCAGAAGAGGAGAGUGGAACUCCAUGUGUAGCGGUGGAAUGCGUAGAUAUAUGGAGGAACACCGGCGGCGAAGGCGGCCUGCUGGACCGCGACUGACGUUGAGGCUCGAAAGCGUGGGGAGCGAACAGG